rnacentral:ncRNA from 1 species
CACUUAGGGGAGCUUGUGUAAACGGGCUGAGAACAGACUGUAUCGUCUGGACCCAUAACCUGAUUUGGAUAAUGCCAACGUAGGGAUUUGCAAGAU